UACGGAAGCAGCAGUGGGGAAUAUUGCACAAUGGGCGCAAGCCUGAUGCAGCCAUGCCGCGUGUAUGAAAAAGGCCUUCGGGUUGUAAAGUACUUUCAGUCGUGAGGAAGGUGUUAAGGUUAAUAACCUUAGCAAUUGACGUUAGCGACAGAAGAAGCACCGGCUAACUCCGUGCCAGCAGCCGCGGUAAUACGGAGGGUGCGAGCGUUAAUCGGAAUUACUGGGCGUAAAGGGCACGCAGGCGGUUAAUUAAGUUGGAUGUGAAAUCCCCGGGCUUAACCUGGGAAUGGCAUUCAAGACUGGUUAGCUAGAGUCUUGUAGAGGGGGUAGAAUUCCAUGUGUAGCGGUGAAAUGCGUAGAGAUGUGGAGGAAUACCGGUGGCGAAGGCGGCCCCUGGGACAAAGACUGACGCUCAUGUGCGAAAGCGUGGGGAGCAAACAGGGAUUAGAUACC
rnacentral:rRNA from 1 species